GAUGAACGCUAGCUACAGGCUUAACACAUGCAAGUCGAGGGGUAACGAGAGGAAAGCUUGCUUUCCUUGUCGACGACCGGCGCACGGGUGAGUAACGCGUAUCCAACCUGCCCCCAACUAGGGAAUAACCUUGCGAAAGUAAGACUAAUACCCUAUAAUUUCCUCAGAUGUCAUCUGACGAGGAAUAAAGAUUUAUCGGUUGUGGAUGGGGAUGCGUCUGAUUAGCUUGUUGGUGGGGUAACGGCCCACCAAGGCAACGAUCAGUAGGGGUUCUGAGAGGAAGGUGCCCCACAUGGGAACUGGUACACGGUCCAAACGCCUACGGGAGGCAGCAGUGAGGAAUAUUGGUCAAUGGGCGGAAGCCUGAACCAGCCAAGUAGCGUGCAGGAUGACGGCCCUAUGGGUUGUAAACUGCUUUUAUACAGGAAUAAAGUUAGCCACGUGUGGUUAUUUGUAGGUACUGUAUGAAUAAGGACCGGCUAACUCUGUGCCAGCCGCCGCCGUAA
rnacentral:rRNA from 1 species